rnacentral:rRNA from 1 species
UACGUAGGGGGCAAGCGUUGUCCGGAUUUAUUGGGCGUAAAGAGCGUGUAGGCGGCCAUACAGGUCCGUUGUGAAAACUGGAGGCUUAACCUCCAGACGUCGAUGGAAACCGUAUGGCUAGAGUCCGGAAGAGGAGAGUGGAAUUCCUGGUGUAGCGGUGAAAUGCGCAGAUAUCAGGAAGAACACCCGUGGCGAAGGCGGCUCUCUGGACGGUACUGACGCUGAGACGCGAAAGCGUGGGGAGCGAACAGG